rnacentral:rRNA from 1 species
UACGUAGGGUGCAAGCGUUGUCCGGAAUUAUUGGGCGUAAAGAGCUCGUAGGCGGUCUGUCGCGUCGGCUGUGAAAACCCGGGGCUCAACCCCGGGCCUGCAGUCGAUACGGGCAGACUAGAGUGCGGUAGGGGAGACUGGAAUUCCUGGUGUAGCGGUGGAAUGCGCAGAUAUCAGGAGGAACACCGGUGGCGAAGGCGGGUCUCUGGGCCAUUACUGACGCUGAGGAGCGAAAGCGUGGGGAGCGAACAGG